AAUCUAUGUAUUUUACGGAAUAGUUCAUUUUUUUAUUAUUUAGGAAUUUUGUAAAACAAAAUACAAAGAAAACUAAAAUUAAUAAAAUAUUAAGAAAAAGUAUACAUUAAGUUAAAUUGAUUUCACACACAGAGAAAUCAAUUAAGAAAAAUUAUACAUUAAGUGGAUUUUCCUGUUCAUGUCAUAUUUUUAAUUGAUUUUGAAAUAUUAAAUUCCAGAUAUUGUCUUAUACUCCCUAUGUUUUCUAAAAUAUAAGUAUAUAUUUUUAACUUUCACAUAUAUUAAAAUAACAUAUUAACUUGUUAUUAAAUAUUUCUAACAAUUUUUAAUCAGUAUAAUUUCAAUAAAUACAAUUAUUAUUUUGAAUUCUACAAUAUAAAAUAUAUAUAUAUUAAAAAGUAUUUCUCAAACAUAAAUAUUUCGUUAAACAGAGGGAAUCUUAUACAAUAAAACAUAAUUGCUUCUCUCCUCAUUAAGCCACGUCAUCAGGUAGGAGAGGGCAAAUUUCGACACGUGUUGCCUAAACAAGCAUUCUACGAAACCAAUUUGUCGUGUCCUUUGCGUUCUUGAAUUGGGCUUCUGUUUCGUUUCUUUUGCAUUCUUUAAUUAGAGCUUCUUAAUUUCCAGGCCCGUAUAUCAUGUGCUAUACCAGAAAGUGAGGUUUUCACGUGUUACAUUUUAAUUAUUCUCCAAUUUUUUCGUUAACGAACGCUAAGUGGGUCAUUGCAAUUUCUAACUUUUAACCCAAACCAGGUUAUGUCUAUAACUAGGCUUCUGUUCUCUUUUUUUAUUCAGGCCCAACGUAUCAUUGCUUAGUGCUUAGACCCAUUAGGAAUAUCAACAUAGAUUAACAUUGUCGUCGACCCUUCCCUUCCCUGAAGCCUCCUCCGAUGAACUUCCUGUAACGCCUUCUUUCUCCAUUGAUUUAUACCUUAAAUCCGUUCAUUAACUAGCUUUACUCCACGCCUCCCAUUCUAUACCAUCUUUAUACGCAACCGACGGGAGGGCUCCAAGCGUUAUACAGCUCCAUCUCUGUGAAAUCUAGAAGUAUUGUCUCUGGUUCUCGGAGAAAUGCCAAGAGAGGAAGCGAGCUGAUGGGGGUUGACAUGCUAUUCCUUGACGAAAGUCUACAGGAUGAGCGGUUUCGACGUAAAGCGGAGCAACAACAUUUGGCACUUAUUUUGAAAAGUUAUCAAGAGUCCGCUAAGCCGAUACUAACUGAACUUUUCCUUUUCCGUCAUACGGCCAACUGCUUGCUUUGGCGAAAGAAACAGACAGCUACCUGGAGCACAAUCAAGGACCGUUCACAGGAGGCACAACGUGUAAUGCUUACUAUACGUCUAGAGAGGGAUGUAACCGUCUGUGUCAGUAUGUUUAACUCCUUGGCUUGCCUUCAUAACAAAUUUGAAAGCUACGGAAGUGAACCAAAUAUUGUCCAUGGAGGUGGGCUAUUUCUGAACUUAACAUCUGGAAUCCAUAUUUAUUGCGACUCUGAGACUGUAGGAAAAGAGAAGUUUGACAAUUGUCAGAGAAACAAAGUCGUCAAAUUAAGCUCCUCCAACGAAAAAAUUAUUUGGAACAGGGUGGGUGGUACUGGAAUGGACAUGAGAAGCACAGCCAAGGUAAUCUUUUUAUUUUAUUUAUACGUUGAUGAAAAAGUUAGCAAAUUUCCUGUAAAAUAAAAUCAGAAUGACAAAGCUUACUGAUCUCUGUUUGGUUUAAUUUUACACUCUCCCUGGACCUGCAACCAACCAUCAAAACUCCCAAAAAAGGAACUAUGAUGGUUCCAACACUUGGUGAAGCUCCUCGGGAAGAUAGUGAAGUGAUCUUAUAGUAAGGCCUCUCCUGCAAACCAACCUUGCAGAUGCCACAAUGCAUUUGUUGAAAGGCACAAUAGAGGAGGAAGCGAAAGCUAAGAAAAUUAAUAUCACAUGUAUGAGGACGAGAUCACAUGAUUGGUCUAUAUGAAGCUCUGCGGGUUUAGCCUCAGGCAUGUAAGAGACGAGGCUCCAUUAUAGGUGGCAAUAUAUUCUGCACCAUAUGCUUUUGUAUCUAAAAGAAAACUAAACUCUUAGUUACAAGAAUGUAACGUUCUACACAGCAGAAAACAAUACACUUAACAAAAACAUUUACUUAGACAAA